rnacentral:rRNA from 1 species
AUGGCCUCGAAAGCUAUAAGGAGGAGGCCUGCCGAGAAAGAAAGAGAGAGACAUAUGGAAACAACAAUGCCGGAAUCUGUCACAGCCCCUCUUCUAGGAAAUAGUGCCCAGGGGAAUAAAUCGGAGGGUUAUGAGCCUAUACCAGAUUUCUGGGAUGGAAAAUCACGCGAGUGCCUUCAUUGGGUGCAUAUUGUAUCUACUUUUAUUACUCAGUCUGCAAGAAAGAUAGUAAAUGCUAUUUCGGAGUUUGGUUCGUUUCUAGCAAGGUUCUUUGGUUGCUCCUGUGCUCCCCAAAGUUCACAAAAUGCACAGACAAUGCUAAUUCACCUCAGUCCAUUACAGGAGGAGAGAUUAAAAUUCUUGAGACAAAGAUUAAAUGUGCCAUUUGAUUGUUCCGCUGUCAAGCACCAGGAUGCACUAAAAGAACUUUGGAGAUUGGCUUAUCCUAACCGAGAACUUCCUCCUCUGAAAUCAGAUCUAUGGAAGGAAAUGGGCUGGCAGAACUCUGACCCAGCAACAGAUUUUAGGUCUGGGGGAUUCAUGUCCUUGGAAAAUCUAAUAUAUUUUGCAAGAAAUUACCCAGAUUCCUUUCAUCGGCUAUUACACAAGGCAGAUGGUGAGAGAGCUGAAUGGGAAUAUCCUUUUGCAGUAGCUGGCGUAAAUAUAUCUUAUAUGUUAGUUCAAAUGCUGGAUUUACAAUCAGAAAAUAGGAGGAGCUCAAAAGCAAGAGUUGGCUUUGCUCAACUACUUGAAGAUGACGAGAUGGCUUUCGAUAACCUUUUCUGCCUAGCUUUUCAGAUGCUCGAUGCUCAGUGGCUUGCAAGGAGAGCUAGUUAUAUGGAAUUCAACGAGGUUCUGAAGUCCACACUAGGCCAGUUAGAGCAAGAGCUUACAAUUGGAGGCGUUUCAAGCGUUCAGAAUCUGCCAUCGUUCAGAAUGUUAAGGAGAUAG